UACGUAGGGUGCAAGCGUUAAUCGGAAUUACUGGGCGUAAAGCGUGCGCAGGCGGUUGUGCAAGACCGAUGUGAAAUCCCCGGGCUCAACCUGGGAAUGGCAUUGGUGACUGCACGGCUAGAGUGUGUCAGAGGGGGGUAGAAUUCCACGUGUAGCAGUGAAAUGCGUAGAUAUCGGGAGGAACACCAGUGGCGAAGGCGACUACCUGGCCUGUUCUUGACGCUGAGGCGCGAAAGCUAGGGGAGCAAACGGG
rnacentral:rRNA from 1 species